AGCAAGUCCCACACUGCGUGACCUCAGGCA
rnacentral:piRNA from 1 species